rnacentral:rRNA from 1 species
UACGUAGGGACCAAGCGUUGUUCGGAUUUACUGGGCGUAAAGCGCGCGUAGGCGGCUUUGUAAGUUAGAGGUGAAAGCCCGGGGCUCAACCCCGGAACUGCCUUUAAGACUGCAUCGCUUGAAUCCAGGAGAGGUGAGUGGAAUUCCGAGUGUAGAGGUGAAAUUCGUAGAUAUUCGGAAGAACACCAGUGGCGAAGGCGGCUCACUGGACUGGUAUUGACGCUGAGGUGCGAAAGCGUGGGGAGCAAACAGG